rnacentral:rRNA from 1 species
ACGGGGUGCAGUAGGCGCGAAAACACCGCAAUGCACGAAAGUGUGACGGGGCUACCCCGAGUGCCAUCCGCUGAGGAUAGCUUUUCUUUGGUAUAACUAGCCAUUGGGAUAAGGAGAGGGCAAGACUGGUGUCAGCCGCCGCGGUAAUACCAGCUCUCCGAGUUGUAGGGAUGAUUAUUGGGCUUAAAGCGUCCGUAGCCGGCUUAGCAAGUUUCCUGUUAAACCCAGCGACUCAAUCGUUGGAUCGCGGGAAAUACUACUAGGCUAGGAGGCGGGAGAGGUCAACGGUACUUCUGGGGUAGGGGUGAAAUCCUAUAAUCCCGGGAGGACCACCAGUGGCGAAGGCUGUUGACUAGAACGCGCUCGACGGUGAGGGACGAAAGCUGGGGGAGCGAACCGGAUUAGAUACCCGGGUAGUCCCAGCUGUAAACGAUGCGAGCUAGGUGUUGGGAUGGCUACGGGCCAUUUCAGUGCCGCAGGGAAGCCAUUAAGCUCGCCGCCUGGGGAGUACGGCCGCAAGGCUGAAACUUAAAGGAAUUGGCGGGGGAGCAC